rnacentral:rRNA from 1 species
UGGAGCAUGUGGUUUAAUUCGAAGCAACGCGAAGAACCUUACCGGGCCUUGACAUGCAGAGAACUUUCCAGAGAUGAUUGGUGCCUUCGGGAACUCUGACACAGGUACUGCAUGGCUGUCGUCACGCUCGUGUCGUGAGAUGUUGGGUUAAGUCCCGUAACGAGCGCAACCCUUGUCCUUAGUUACCAGCACGUUAUGGUGGGCACUCUAAGGAGACUGCCGGUGACAAACCGGAGGAAGGUGGGGAUGACGUCAAGUCAUCAUGGCCCUUACGGCCUGGGCUACACACGUGCUACAAUGGUCGGUACAAAGGGUUGCCAAGCCGCGAGGUGGAGCUAAUCCCAUAAAACCGAUCGUAGUCCGGAUCGCAGUCUGCAACUCGACUGCGUGAAGUCGGAAUCGCUAGUAAUCGUGAAUCAGAAUGUCACGGUGAAUACGUUCCCGGGCCUU